rnacentral:lncRNA from 1 species
UCUUUAUUGGGUUUUAAACUAAAAUUGAAAUGCUUUGGAGGAAUUUGAAUAAUGUAUUAAUGAGUUGUAAUCAAACUAGCAUUUGCUCAGGUUUCAUUGCUUGUGUGAAGGGUUUUUCCUAUAACUUGAAAUUUAAAAACUAUUAUUUCCUGUUCCUUUUUUUGGUCAGGUGGUCUAAAUUUGUAACAUUUUAGCAUUGCAUCAAUGAUGAUGACUACCAGAUAAUGUGAGAUUGGAGAAGAGAAAAGUAAUGACUAAAUUGUGGAUUUCAGUGCUUUAUAGGUGCCUUUAGAGUCAGCUUUUGCAUUAUAGGGGCUUGUUACAGUCCAGCUAAGGUGACCACUUACAGUUUAUACAGAUCUCAUAUGUAUAAAUCAACAUUCUUAGGAUAUUAUAUAUCCUUUGAAUAAAUCCCUGUGAACUCUUCCUCCCUCCUAAAAUGGUGCAUAAUAUAAACAUGAUGUGUAGUAUGCAGAUAUCAUUUAUUAGGUAGUUUGUAGUAUAUAAAAUUAGAACAUACUUCUUUUUCAACAAAGGGUUAACUGUUUGCUAAUUUACCAUUUUAUUCUGUCAGGUACAGGCAAAACAAAUUUUCAUUUUGGAUGAUCAUAUACACAACUUUCGGAACUUAGAACAGUUAAAAAUAAUAUAAAUGGCCAUUUCACUCUUGACUGGCCAAAAAUAAGUAAUACACUUUUUUCUUAAGUGAUUUUUCACACUUAGCAAUUUGAGAGACUAGUUUGUUAAUGCACUAUUUCUAGCGAGCAAUUCUUGUUAUUAGGAGCAUGAGAGUGAAAUAGUGUGAAGUGUUGGUGGUGAGUGCUUCUAUCAUAUUACUGUAGGUACUUGGACUGGUGCAAACUUGAUUCCUUUUCAUGCCCCUGUUUGGGAGCUGUUAAAAUAUUACUGUUAAAAAUCCAAACCAUUCUUUGCCAUGUAAUUAGAAAGUAGCCAAAUUUACUUUAGAGCUUCUCAGCUGUUUAUGAAGAGCUCUUCUGCUUUUAUUGAAAUUCAUUAGCAUCAAAUGUAGUGAGAAACCACCUAGCCUGUGUUUUGGACAAAAAAAAAAAUCAGUAUGAUAAAAUUCCAUAUGUUAAGAGAAUUCUAUAGGCUUUAAAAAAUGAUUUAAGUUAGGUUUAAUAAACAUGUUAUGCAGGGAGGCAGAUCAGAUGAAUGUCUUGUAGCAGACAAAAAUUUUUAAGUGGUGUUAGACUUGAAUUCAUCAGUUAAUUGUUUGAACGAGGGUGGGUGGGUAGAAGGAAAACAAAAUUACUGUUAGUGUUUCUUAAGGAAAAAGAUGUGAAUCCCAGCCUUAUUUCAGGGAAACCUUUGAAGCUAUGAUGGACAUAAGUCUAAAUGUAUGUAUGUUUCAUUAUAUUGCUCUUAAGACUACUGAGGUGGCAGUUUUAAUUCUUAAAAACAAUAAAAUGGAAGCAUAAAUACUAUUUGCCUAGAUGAAUUUUUACGUAAUGAUGAU